CAUCAGUUAAUUGAUUCUGAAAACCUGCUCCUCCAUCACACCCACAGGUCUCAUAAAUGUGCUAUGGUUAAAAUCACCUUGGCCUGAAGGCUGAAGGAUCACAUAUAUAUCCAAGCUCUUGUCUGAAUCCCCCAAAAUAUGAAUCCAGAGAUACAACAAAAAAUCUGCAUUCAAAUAAGCAAGGAAAAAAAGACACGCUGAAGGUCUAUUUAGAAGUAAAUGCUGCAUUCCCCUGAAUCUGUGACCACUCAUUCUAAAAAUCAGCAUCUGAGGAAUCAAAGGAGAUUCUCAUAUUUAGAAGGCCAGUCACAUUUGAAUUUUAGUGGACAUUCAGAAACAACUUCAGGAAAGACAAGAGGUGAUGCAUUGGUAUCACAAAGAAACAAAAUCCUUGUGGUUUUGCCCAACAUUGAAGAGGAGACUGCAGCUACAUCACUCCCAGGAGGUUCUGUGAUGCUGGGCAGCUCAGUACACUGCUUCUUUUGUCCCCUCCUUCUGGGCUGAUAUGGAUGAUCAUGGCACAGCCAAGCUGGAGAGGGGUUCACAGAUUUUGGUACUGCAGAGUGCAACCAGCAUGGAGGGCAGGUGUUGGUUUGCUGUUCUACAGGUUUGCGCCAGGAGUCAGAGGGCAACAAGCUACAGUUCUUGCCAUGACCUGGUAAGGAAAGUAUGGUAACUCAACUUGUCCAAAUGCUUUUACACUCACACUGCCUAAAAUCCCCAAAAUUAUCCAGGAAAAACUGUCCUGUGAGGGAUCUUCCCUAGUAGUGCAAAACUGCAGUCCCUAUGCACUGGUUGCUAUCUGGGCUAGAGCAGUGUUUGUGGCUUAAGACCUUCCACACCCUAAACCAAGACUUCUAGAGCACCUGCCCCUUCCUGCAACCCCUUAUUCUGCAUGAAGGUAAUGUGACCCAUUGAAUGCAUAGCUUUCUUUGCUCCAGAACGUACAGUGUGGAUGAUUAGUUUCUGGGGAGCAGAAAAUGCUGCAAGAUACAGAAACACACAAUUCUUUGGCUUGUGUUUGAACCAAGGUAGAUUUCCAACAGGACAAGAGGACAGAGUCUCAAACUGCACCAGGGGAGGUUUAGGUUAGACAUUAAGAAUUUCUUCACAAGAAGGGUGACUGGGCAUUUGAAUGGACUGUCUAGGGAGGCAGAUGUCACCACCCCUAGAGGCGUUUGAAGAGAAACUGGAUGUGGCACUCAGUGCCAUGGUCUGGUUGACAGGGUGGUGCUCUGUCCCAAGAUGGAAUCCAUGAUCUCAGAGGUCUUUUCCAAUCUAAUGGACUGUGAUUUACAAGGAUACAGUAGGGACCCUUUACAGCCUGGAGAAGCAUGUGGGCUGUGAGGAAGCCCCUGAGCGAACAGCCCUU
rnacentral:lncRNA from 1 species